GAUGAAGAACGCAGCGAAAUGCGAUAAGUAAUGUGAAUUGCAGAAGUCAGUGAAUCAUCGAAUCUUUGAACGCACAUUGCGCCCCCUGGUAUUCCGGGGGGCAUGCCUGUUCGAGCGUCAUUUCACCACUCAAGCCUCGCUUGGUAUUGGGCAACGCGGUCCGCCGCGUGCCUCAAAUCGACCGGCUGGGUCUUCUGUCCCCUAAGCGUUGUGGAAACUAUUCGCUAAAGGGUGUUCGGGAGGCUACGCCGUAAAACAACCCCAUUUCUAAGGUUGACCUCGGAUCAGGUAGGGAUACCCGCUGAACUUAAGCAUAUCAAUAAGCGGAGGA
rnacentral:misc_RNA from 1 species